rnacentral:lncRNA from 1 species
GUGGAGGCUAACGGCAGACCGCUACAAUCAGCUAGCGGUUAGCCGAAUGAGCCGUUAGCUAAACUAACGUUAGCUUGCCUGUCGACCGGAAGCGUGGAACAGAUCGUGCAGUGUCGUAAAUCCUCCUCAUCCUCACAUGUGCAGAAUGGAUCGUGCAGGCAGAACGGAUCGUGUACCGACAGAUUUCACAAAUUUCAGUAUGACACGUUAUGCCGUAAACAGUUUAAAUCUGAGCAUGCGCGAUUCACAUCUGCACUCGACUCACAUCGGGCAGUGACAGCACUCUGUCAUACGAGUAAGUUACCGGCAACGACGGCUACCGCUGCGAGUGCUCCUUCACUGACUGACCGUGUUUGUGAUACAAACAAUGUGUGUGCAAGUUCAUAGCGGAACACGAUUUGUCAUUAACGAUGGCCACUGUAAAAGCUAUCUGAAGCCCAAACUGCCUUGACAAAGCUGUCUGUUUGGAAUUACCAUGGCAGGUAUUUAAACAUAACGGCCUUGUCCCAGAGUUUAGACGUCUAGCUAUAUGAAAAGCUAAACAAUGCGACGUUUUUAAUAAAUGUAAAUAAAGCAGCUAAUAUCAACAUGGACAAAAUCAGGUGUAGAGUCUCAGACCUAUCCUUCCCUCGUCUCUCCACGCCAUCGCUACUCUCCUUCGACCUGCACAGAAAGGAAACUUCUCGGCUGCUCUUUACAUACACACCGCCGUCAUGAACCCACGCUACAGCAGAGUCCUGUUGGGUCUGUGGACCUGGCUCAAUGGUGUUUUUUGCCUCCAACGGCACCUUCCAGGCAGCUAACCCUAAACAAAACCAUUGCCGCGCUACCUGGAAGGAGACGUUGGGGGCAAAAAACACCAAGGACCGUGGACCUGUCCGGCUGUGGACUCCGUCCUGCUUCCCUCCAGCAGACCUCGGGCCUGGGGAAGACGGCUCUGACUCACAUCAACAUCAACAACUGCAGCUACACCUGGAGAACUGACUGUCUGCUUCUUCUUUUAAAAUACAAACAUCUUCCUCGUUUUUUAAAGCUCUUGUAAUAAUCACAUGUUUGUUUUAAAUGUUAAUGAAUGUAUUUAGCCUAUUAGUUUUAAUAAAUGAAAUGUUUUGAAAUAAAUACAGUCGUAAAUUUGAAGGACAAAACUGCAGUCAUAAAUAAACUGGCAACUGUG